UUGCCAAGGAGGAGGGGUUCACAAGACCCCACCCCUCCCUGAGAAUGUAUAGACAGUUAAUGGUUGCUACAGCAAAGAGGAAGGUUUCUUCGAGGUGUAGCCACUGUGUUUUGAAAGUGAAUCUUCAAGCAAGAACACUGCAACUGUAAACAAGGGCCACAGGGCAAGUCCCAGAAAGCCAAGUCUUAAAGAAACGUGGAGCUCAGCAGCCCGUAUGCAGAUCCUUCUUCAGUUCUGGGAAAUCCCUGUGCAUCUCUAAAGUGGUGCUGCACUACUGCCAAUGAUUGUUUCACCAACCUCUUAGAACAGAAAAACUCACAGAAACAGAACAGCUUCCUUUCUUAUAAAUUGGAAAGAAAUUAAAAUGUUAAUCAUGAUGAU